rnacentral:rRNA from 1 species
AUGCCGACGCUACACGGACCCGUUCUGUUCGUCAGGCCCGGUGCUUACCAAGAGCUGAAACCGUUCCCGAAAAACGCCGCUGGUUCGUGUAGCAAUUUAUUGGGUUGCAACACAAUUUGUAGUUCCGUCGAAGACCAUCAUGUACAGAAACCACACAUUGUUUCCAGCUUCAGAGUUAACUUUACCAGAGUCAGCCAUUAUCUUCAGAGAAGCUUAAAUGAGAGAACUACACGGCACUGGCUGCAUCGGUUUCAUGUUAAUGCUUCAUCGGACGAGGACUUCCGCUCGUCGCGUAAUAUAGCAACCAGCCUGUUCAAGCAGUAUAAGAAUGUCAUUGAUCGAGGAGGUGGAGAUAACAUAAAAGGGUUUGUUAGUGCUGGGGUGCAAGCAUAUGCCCUAGGCUGUACAGAAGAGGGGCUUAGAAAGGAACUUAUGGAUAUAAAAAAUUCUGGUGUCAAGAUCGAAGGCCUGCAAUCCUAUGGAGGAACAAGCUUGAGCUUCAAAGUUCGUUCUUUUGAGGUAAAGGAGUGCAUCCUGUGGCUCAGUAUAGUGUUCAUUACAAUCUUGUGCACGCCACAGCCGACGGUCAUCAGGUGGUCUACCACCCCACCGGUGUCGGCGGAUGUCUUGCAUCAGUGGAAAGGAUUUUGUGCCCUGAUAGCAAACGCUUACUACACCAAGGGCAUGGCAUGGCUACCAGUGAAAACAUUGCAGCUGGAACAGAUGGCUGUGACAGGCAGUUCGGAGGAGCCAUCGCUAGUAGCAAGUCGGAUGCAGUUAGUUUUCAGUACAUUAGAGGUAGUCAGCCCCCAAUGGCCAAGAGUGUGA